rnacentral:rRNA from 1 species
UACGUAGGUGGCAAGCGUUGUCCGGAUUUAUUGGGUUUAAAGGGUGCGUAGGCGGCUUGAUAAGUCAGCGGUGAAAGCCGAUCGCUUAACGAUCGAACUGCCAUUGAUACUGCCAGGCUUGAGUAUAGUUGAGGUAGGCGGAAUUGACAGUGUAGCGGUGAAAUGCAUAGAUAUUGUCAAGAACACCAAUUGCGAAGGCAGCUUACUAAAGUAUAACUGACGCUGAGGCACGAAAGUGCGGGGAUCAAACAGG